GCGGGACGCCCCCGCCCCCACCGCGGCGCGUAGUGCGCAGGCGCCUCCCCCCGGGUCCCGGCGGCGGGAGCGGGAGGCGGCGGCGGCGGCGGCGGGAGCGGCUUCAGCCUCUCUUGGAGACUGAGGCGAAGGCGGCGGCGAAGGAGGUGAAGGAGCGACGAGGGCGGCGGCGAAGGCGAUGGCGACGCGGGGCACAUGAAGCGGUGGCCGGCGGGACGGGCCGAGGCCCGGCGGAGAAGGCGGCUCCGGGGGAACCCGCCGCCGGGUUCCACAGUGUGCUAAGGUCUUCUGCAAACUGGUCUUUAACUUCUCUGUUCAGCCUUCUCUCCAACUACUUCCCAAACAUCCUCCAUCAUGUUCCAGUCCAAGAGACUUCUUAUGCAACUUUUCCCUCACACCAUUUUCUCCAUCUUCCUGGCUGGCCUCUACUUCCCACUCCAGCUCUGCCUGGUGAAACCAUACCCAUCCUUCAAAGACCCACUUGCUUUGUGCAGUGACUAUCCUGUUGCCCAAACAUCAUUAAUUAAAAAUUCCAUCUUUGCCCCCACUGAUGUGAGGAGCCACCUACAUUAGUAGCUUUUCAGCAGAGGAGUAACACAUCUGUGUUAGAGAAUUCUGGUGGAGAUGUAGAAGACAGACUGAAGAAGAGAAAGUAGAGCAGGUAUUGAUUGGUUUAUAGCCUUUCAGGAUUUUUGGUUGUUUUUUUUUUUUUUUUAGGGUUUUUUAAUGCAUAAAUUUUGUUUUCACAAAAUUGAGAUAAUUCUAUAAGUGUGUGAAUUUAUUGAACAGGUAUUUAUUGAGAACCCAUCACCAUUUUUUAGGCCCUGGGGUUUCAGAUAACUGGGGAUAAAAGAACAGAGUCCUUGCUGUCAGGAAGCUUCUAUUCUAGUGGAGGAACUAGGCAAUAAAAUAAAAAUAUAAAUUACAUACAUAUAUAUAAAUAGGCCAGGUGAAGUGGCUCACACCUGUAAUCCUAGUACUCUGGGAGGCUAAGGCAGGAGGAUCACUUGAGGUCAGGAGUUUGAGGUUGCUAUGAUGAUGCCACUGCACUCUAGCUGGGGCAACAGAGCAAGACUGUCUAAAAAAUAUAUAUAUAUAUACACACACACACAUACACAAACAUAAUGUGUGGAUUAAGUGCUGUAAAGAAAAUUAUGGCUAAGAAAAAAAGGCUGGAGAAUUAUAGGAACUGUUAGAAGUUGUCUAGGGAAGGUCUUAUUAAGGAAAGUGACAUUUGAGCAAAGCCUUGAAUGAAGUAAGAGUGAGUCCUGCCAGUAUCUAUGAAAAGAGUUGUUCUAAUCAGUGAAAAUAGCAAGUGCAAAGAUUCUAAGGCAAAAGCAUGGCAUGUUUGUCAUGGUUUGUGGAACAAAGAGGAUGCAGGUAGAUAUUCCUGAGGCAGAAUGAGGAAGAGGGAGAAUAAGUGGGAAUGAGACCAGAAAGUGAGCUGAUAAAGGACAUUGUAAACUACCGGAAGAUUUUGGAUUUUAUUCCAAGUGUGAUGGGAAGCUACUACUAGAGAGUUUUGAUCAGAAAGGGAAAUUGUCUAACCUACCUUCUAAAAUCUUUACUCUGGUUGCUCUUGGAGAGAGGAUGAAGGCAUAAGCUAAGGCAGUGGUUCCCAACGUUUUUUGGCACCAGGACAGGUUUCAUGGAAGAUAAUUUUUCCAUGGCCAGUGGGGG
rnacentral:lncRNA from 1 species